rnacentral:misc_RNA from 1 species
AACGCACAUUGCGCCCGCCAGUAUUCUGGCGGGCAUGCCUGUCCGAGCGUCAUUUCAACCCUCGAACCCCUCCGGGGGAUCGGCGUUGGGGACACGGGACCCCUCACACGGGUGCCGGCCCCGAAAUACAGUGGCGGUCUCGCCGCAGCCUCUCCUGCGCAGUAGUUUGCACAACUCGCACCGGGAGCGCGGCGCGUCCACGUCCGUAAAACACCCAACUUUCUGAAAUGUUGACCUCGGAUCAGGUAGGAAUACCCGCUGAACUUAA